rnacentral:rRNA from 1 species
UACGUAGGGUGCGAGCGUUAAUCGGAAUUACUGGGCGUAAAGCGUGCGCAGGCGGUUUUGUAAGCCAGAUGUGAAAGCCCCGGGCUUAACCUGGGAAUGGCAUUUGGGACUGCAAGGCUUGAGUGCGGCAGAGGAGACUGGAAUUCCUGGUGUAGCAGUGAAAUGCGUAGAUAUCGGGAGGAACAUCCGUGGCGAAGGCGACUACCUGGACCAGCACUGACACUGAGGCACGAAAGCGUGGGGAGCAAACAGG